AUGGAGCAGCGGAGAAGGGGCGGCUGCUUCUGCUUGCUCGCCGUGGCGGCGGCGGUGGUGGCGGUGGCGGCCGGUGGCGAGGCGAAGCUGUCGCCGGACCACUACCGCAGGACGUGCCCGCGCGUGGAGUCGAUCGUGCGGUCAGCCGUGGCCAGGAAGGUGAGGGCGACCUUCGUCACCGUCCCGGCCACCCUCAGGCUCUUCUUCCACGACUGCUUCGUCCAGGGCUGUGACGCGUCGGUGAUGAUCGCGUCCGGCAGCAACGACGCCGAGAAGGACGCGCCGGACAACCAGUCCCUCGCCGGCGACGGCUUCGACACCGUCGUUCGCGCCAAGGCCGCCGUCGAGAAGGCCUGCCCCGGCGUCGUCUCCUGCGCCGACGUCCUCGCCCUCGCCGCCCGCGACGUCGUCUCCAUGUCGUCGGGCCCGAGCUGGACGGUGGAGCUCGGCCGGCUGGAUGGGCUCGUCUCCAAGGCCGGCGACGUCACGGGCAGGCUGCCGGGCCCGGACAUGCGGCCGGACGCCAUCACCGCGCUGUUCGACGGCAACGGCCUCGCCGUGCGCGACAUGGUCGCGCUCUCGGGCGCGCACACCGUCGGCUUCUCCCACUGCGCGCGCUUCGCGGGGCGGCUGUACCGGCGCGGCGCGGCGGAUCCGUCGUUAAGCCCGUCGUACGCGCGGCAGCUGAUGGCGGCGUGCCCGCCGGACGUGGACCCGACCAUCGCCGUCGACAUGGACCCCGUCACGCCCACCGUGUUCGACAACAAGUACUACGCCAACCUGGCCGCGGGCCUGGGGCUGUUCGCCUCCGACCAGGCGCUGCACGACGGCGCGGCCUCGCGGCCGGCCGUGGAGGGGUUCGCCGGGAACCAGACGCUCUUCUUCGAGGCGUUCAAGGAGGCCAUGGUGAAGCUGGGGAGGGUCGGGGUGAAGAGCGGCGGCGACGGGGAGAUCAGACGAGACUGCACCGCCUUCAACUAG
rnacentral:rRNA from 1 species